CAGUUUUUCCAUCAUGCCAUCGUCCGGACAACACCUGUGCGCGCUUCUAGUGCUGGCGAUUACCUGUGGAAGCGCCUAUGGCGCACCUCCGAUGGGUCGAGUGGUCAAUGGCACGGAUGCCACGAUAGAGAGCUAUCCCUUUGUGAUCUCGUUGCGUGGCGCAACUGGCUCCCAUUCCUGUGGUGGCUCGAUCGUCUCGAACCAGUUCGUGAUGACCGCAGCCCACUGCACGGACGGCCGCAAAGCGGAGCAGCUUUCCGUGCAGUACGGAGUGACGAAGAUCGGAGCCACUGGACCCAACGUGGUGGCUGUGAAGCGUAUCAUUCAGCACGAACUCUACAACCCGAGCAAGAACUACGCCAACGAUAUAUCACUGCUCCAGGUGGCCGAGCCCUUCAAGUUCGACUACAAGACCGUCGCACCUGUUCAGCUGCCAGCCCUAAACUUUGCCACGCCCCAGGUGGACAACGGCGGGGACGGCACGCUUAUUGGCUGGGGCCUCAACGAGACCGGUGGCUAUAUUCAGACUACGCUGCAGCAGGUGUCGCUCAAGGUGUACUCUGACGAGGAGUGCGUCGCGCGCCACAAGGGCUCCACGAACCCGCUCUAUCAUAUCUGCGGCGGGGUAGAUGAGGGCGGCAAGGGCCAAUGCAGCGGCGACUCGGGCGGCCCUCUGCUCUACGACGGCCAGCAGGUGGGCAUCGUGUCCUGGAGCGUCAAGCCCUGCACCGUGGCCCCCUAUCCCGGCGUCUACUGCAAGGUGGCCAACUACGUCGACUGGAUCCAGAAAAGCCAGAUAAUAUUGGCUUAGGCUUCUAGUCCAGCAGUGCCAAUUAGCCCCCAGUUUUAUUGGAGAUCAUAUAUUAAUAAUCCUAUCGCAUCGGCCUUAUCGACGUCGGCAUCGAUCAGCCCAUAAAUCAAUGUAUUGGAACAAUUCAACUUUGAUGCCGCCUUUCGAGAAAUAUAACUCAUUCAGUUCAAUGCAAAUCGAUUUCAUAUAUAAUGCUUGAUCAGUCUGACCCAAACUGUAAGCCAAGACAACAACCAGUGGUGAAAAGUCACUUUUAUAGCAAGUACAUUCACCACAGUAUCAAAUUCUGCUUAUUUUCAACACAUUAACACUGGUCUGUUAACUUACAUGCCUUUAACAUGUAAGUGUGUUUCAAACAUGUUUGAAGCUAGUCACAUACCG